CUAAGAGGAAGCCAGCCUAAUGUCCAGGACCUUGGCUGCAUUUGCCACCAUGUCCAGCUUGCCACUGGUUGUGGCAUCAAAGCAACCAAACUUCCAGUAGAAGACAUGUUGGUUGGAAUAUACACCCACUUUGACAAAAGUGCAAAAGAGAUGUGAGCUCUACAAGGAGUUUGUAGAGUUCGCAGACUCUGACAACCUUGAGCUGCUGAGUACCGGAUGGCUCAGUCUGCUUACAUGCAUACAGAGAGUACUGAACCAGUGGAAUGCUCUACAGGCAUACUUUGACAGUCUUGAGGAGGUGGAGAGGAAUGUCAAAGUUCGUGAUCUGGCAAGCCAUCUCCGUGAUCAAGUUAUGAACCUGCCUUUCAGUCAGAGGGAGAACAGAUUCACAGGCUUGAAGAGGAGAUGUGCAGGCUGAUCAGGCGGUUUUUGGGCUACCUCAUACCAGCCAGGGCCAUCUUGGAUGUGGCUCUCAGGGAGGUGAACUACGGAGAGGGACAUCAAUUGGAAGAUGAAGACCUCUUCAUUGGAGCAGAGACAAUUUGUAUGCAGUGCAGUCCCUCGGAACAAGACUACGGGAACCAGACGCGUCCUCUGCUCAAUCUGACUUGUGCUGCAGCUGGUUUCAUCUAGCCAGAGGAGAACGGGCCCCAUGACUGAGGCUGCUUUCUCCCAAGGUUUUCUCUCCAUUUCUGUCACCGAUGGAGUUUUGGUUCCUUGCCGCUGUCGCCUUUGGCUUGCUUAGUCGGGGACACUUGAUUGAUUGCACAGACACCAUUGGAAGAGAACUGAACUGGAUGAUGACAUCACUGAAGCGUCAAUCAACCGGCUUUAGCUGGAAAAUGACUCUUUGUUAUUGUCCUCUUGCACUGUUGACAAACUUACUUUCUGUUGACACUGUAAAGCUGCUUUGACACAAUCAGUAUUGAAUAAAGCGCUAUAUAAAUAAAGGUGACUUGACAUAUUUUUUUCUCAUGCCCAUGUUAACAGGUUAGAGCAGGGGUG